UACAACAUGAACUUUUAAACAGAGAAGUUGUUCUUUUGGAUCUUCUGCUCACCUGCUGAAAUUUAUAUUCUCCUUAAUUUGAAGCAAUUUUGUUACAGGUGUUGAUUCAUUGGUUUAACCACUUCUGAGAAAAAGCCAUUGAUUUCCAUCCUUUCUAACAGAGUAUGACGAAGGACGACUAUCAGUCCGAUGGCGGCUCUGUCUGAGAACAUGCUGACAGUCAACAUGUUACUGAGUCUCGUCUUUCUUCCAGG